AACGCACAUUGCGCCCCCUGGUAUUCCGGGGGGCACACCUGUUCGAGCGCCAUUUCUACCCUGGAGCCAUGCUCUGUGAUGGGCCUCGUCCUCGCGGACGGGCCCGAAACCCGUGGGCGCCGUCGUCCGGCCCUGAGCGUAGCAAGAGAAAUCCCUCGCUCGGAGUGUCUGCCGCCGGCCGCCCCGAAAUCUUUUUUACAAGGUUGGCCUCGGAUCAGGUGGGGAUACCCGCUGAACUUAA
rnacentral:misc_RNA from 2 species